rnacentral:rRNA from 1 species
AGAGUUUGAUCAUGGCUCAGGACGAACGCUGGCGGUGCGCCUAACACAUGCAAGUCGAACGGUGAACCGGGCUUCGGCCCGGGGAUCAGUGGCGAACGGGUGCGUAACACGUGGGCAACCUGCCCCCGACCCUGGGAUAACCCCGGGAAACCGGAGCUAAUACCGGAUACUCUCCUCCGACCGCAUGGUCAGAAGAGGAAAGGUCCGCCGGUCGGGGAUGGGCCCGCGGCCUAUCAGCUUGUUGGUGGGGUAACGGCCUACCAAGGCGACGACGGGUAGCUGGUCUGAGAGGACGACCAGCCACACUGGGACUGAGACACGGCCCAGACUCCUACGGGAGGCAGCAGUGGGGAAUCUUGCGCAAUGGGCGAAAGCCUGAUCCAGCAAUGCCGCGUGUGUGAAGAAGGUCUUCGGAUUGUAAAGCACUUUCGACGGGGACGAUGAUGACGGUACCCGUAGAAGAAGCCCCGGCUAACUUCGUGCCAGCAGCCGCGGUAAUA